UACGUAGGGGCCUAGCGUUGUCCGGAUUUAUUGGGCGUAAAGAGCUCGUAGGCGGUUCGGUAAGUCAGGUGUGAAAUCUCCACGCUCAACGUGGAGGCGCCACCUGAAACUGCCGUGACUCGAGUCCGGUAGGGGAGUGUGGAAUUCCCGGUGUAGCGGUGAAAUGCGCAGAUAUCGGGAGGAACACCGGUGGCGAAAGCGCUCUGCUAGGCCGCAACUGACACUGAGGGACGAAAGCUAGGGGAGCGAAUGGG
rnacentral:rRNA from 1 species